CCCUUGAGGAGUGGCUUCCGGAGCUAACGCGUUAAGUCGACCGCCUGGGGAGUACGGCCGCAAGGUUAAAACUCAAAUGAAUUGACGGGGGCCCGCACAAGCGGUGGAGCAUGUGGUUUAAUUCGAUGCAACGCGAAGAACCUUACCUACUCUUGACAUCCAGAGAACUUAGCAGAGAUGCUUUGGUGCCUUCGGGAACUCUGAGACAGGUGCUGCAUGGCUGUCGUCAGCUCGUGUUGUGGAAUGUUGGGUUAAGUCCCGCAACGAGCGCAACCCUUAUCCUUUGUUGCCAGCGGUUCGGCCGGGAACUCAAAGGAGACUGCCAGUGAUAAACUGGAGGAAGGUGGGGAUGACGUCAAGUCAUCAUGGCCCUUACGAGUAGGGCUACACACGUGCUACAAUGGCAUAUACAAAGAGAAGCGACCUCGCGAGAGCGAGCGGACCUCACAAAGUAUGUCGUAGUCCGGAUCGGAGUCUGCAACUCGACUCCGUGAAGUCGGAAUCGCUAGUAAUCGUAGAUCAGAAUGCUACGGUGAAUACGUUCCCGGGCCUUGUACACACCGCCCGUCACACCAUGGGAGUGGGUUGCAAAAGAAGUAUGUAGCUUAACCUUCGGGAGGGCGCUUACCACUUUGUGAUU
rnacentral:rRNA from 1 species